CUACGGGCGGCUCCAGUGGGGGAUAUUGCACAAUGGGGGAAACCCUGAUGCAGCAACGCCGCGUGAAGGAAGACGGUUUUCGGAUUGUAAACUUCUAUCAGCUGGGAAGAAAAUGACUGUACCAGACUAAGAAGCCCCGGCUAACUACGUGCCAGCAGCCGCGGUAAUACGUAGGGGGCAAGCGUUAUCCGGAUUUACUGGGUGUAAAGGGUUCGUAGGCGGUUAUUUAAGUCAGAUGUGAAAGCCCGAGGCUCAACCUCGGGACUGCAUUUGAAACUGGGUAACUAGAGUACAGGAGAGGAAAGCGGAAUUCCUAGUGUAGCGGUGAAAUGCGUAGAUAUUAGGAAGAACACCAGUGGCGAAGGCGGCUUUCUGGACUGUAACUGACGCUGAGGAACGAAAGCGUGGGGAGCGAACAGGAUUAGAUACCCCAGUAGUC
rnacentral:rRNA from 1 species